ACGGGUUACGUUAAUUCGAGUUAGGCUUAAAUAGGCACAAAUCAAAUUAGGAUCUUGAUCAAGUCAAAGACCCUGAGCAUUAUCCUCCACAUAUCACACAUUAUGAAUAAUAAAGAAGGGAGUCAAGGGCUGAAAUACGAGGAAGUACGUGCAACCACUUGAAACUCCUAUAAAAAGACAAAGCCAUUGCUCUUAUGAGAAAUUCUCUUUCCACUUGAACAAAGGAGAGCUCAGUAGCUCAAGAAACCACAAUUAUAUCAUCUCUCACCUGGAAAAAGAACAAGACACUACACGUGCGUUUCCCAUAAUCCCACUCCACUUGAUAACAAAAAUAAUGAUCAAAAGGCCACUUCAUUUACCAUCACCAAGCGAACGGAUCAUGACGUCUACGUAGCAAGGGGACAACUCUUCCACCACUGGAUCGUUCAGAAAGAAAGAGAGACACUUAAUUCUUCACGUUAAUCUCACUAAGUAAACGCGGUCUCCGUAUUUCGUUAACGGCGAGACCCUUUUAUUCCUGACACAACCACACAGUGAAUCGAACCCUAAUCGAUCCCAGCUCCUAGGUCAAGGGCCAACUCCAUACCCACAGAUUCUGGUUUCUUCAACUCUAUUGCUUUGCGUGGCUUUUCAUCAAAAUUAAAAUUAUCUUCUUCUUCUGGAUGAGGGAUGGUACGAUGGAUACAGUGGACCGAUUCAGCUUCCGGCGAGUAGUCUUCGUGUUUGUUAGCUCUGUGCGUUCUCUUUUCUCGAGUUUCUAUGAAAUUACAUGUUUUCAGUGGCUUAAAUGGUCGUUCUAUGCUUGUAAGCUAUUCAAUUCUAUUUUUUUUUGGUCUUGUGAUUAUUUGUGCUGUUAGGUUUUGAGUUUGUUAGCUCUUUGUUUUCUCUCUUCUUGAGUUUAUAGGAUACUGAAUGUUUUCAGUGGCUUUGUUUGUUCACUGAGUUCUGGGGAAUGAUUUUACUCCUUUUAGCCCCUCAUACUAGUUUUCUCUGCUCUUAUAAUCUUCGAGACUUAAAUUCAUUGUUGAUAAUCACUUAUCUACAAGGAUGUAUCAGUAACUAUUCUUCCCUUGUUAAAUCUUCUUCCACACUUGUCGUCUCCUUAUGAGAAUCUGUAGUUAAGAGCUGAAUCUUGCUGAUUGUUCAUGGGUUUGAUAUAAAUAUCUGAUCUUUGUUGUCUUUUGUCCGUUUCCUGGUACAGGACCAAAUGGGUUCUCCGGUUUCACUGUGCAACGGCUUGUAUGCACGACUACUUCUAAUGGGGAAGUCAAACGGAGAUCUGUCAGUCGAGUCGAGAGAGACCACCGAGGAAGAAGAAUACGGUGUGUUUCCGGUGAUGGAGAGGAGGAGGACGAGGAGUGGUGUGGUGUGGAGAGAAUCGUUUCUGUUUUUACUUGGUUAAGCAAUUCGCUUACGAUGGCCCUGAGAUUAAGGCUAAGAUCGAUGAAGCUAAUGAUGAGAUUUAUAAUUGUAACAGUGAGAAGAUUCACAUUGCUAACAGAUUGAAAGCUAAAAUGGCUGUGAGGGUUGUCUCUGCCUGCUUCAAUUGAGAGUUUGGUGUCAUCACUUGAUGGGUACAACAAUGUAAUGAAGGAUAAAGAAAUUAAUAGCUUGAGUGAGAGAUUAAGAUGGAAAUGGAGUUGUUGGAUGCUCAAAUGGCUUUUUUUUUAAUAUGUUGUUUUAUGUUGCCAUGAAGAAUGCCAUAGAAUUAACUACUUCUGGAAACGUUAUAGAUCCGGAAGAACUUGCGGAUUCAGAGGGCUGUUUUGUCAGUUUAUUGGGUGUAUAUGUUUGUCUUUGAGAUUUGAGCUUGUGUUCGUACUUUGUCUUCGUGUCUUGUAUUUUCAAUAGAUUGAUAAAUUUAUGUUCUCGUUAAAACAAUGACAAAGCUUUUAGGGAUAAAUUUAUUCAGUAA